rnacentral:rRNA from 1 species
CCUACGGGAGGCAGCAGUGGGGAAUAUUGGACAAUGGACGGAACCCUGAUCCAGCGACGCCGCGUGAGUGAAGAAGGAUUUCGGUAUGUAAAGCUCUAUCAUCAGGGAAGAAAGAAAUGACGGUACCUGACUAAUAAGCCCCGGCUAACUACGUGCCAGCAGCCGCGGUAAUACGUAGGGGGCAAGCGUUAUCCGGAUUUACUGGGUGUAAGGGAGCGUAGACGGCGAUGCAAGUCUGAAGUGAAAGGCGGUGGCCCAACCGCCGGACUGCAUUGGAAACUGUAUGGCUGGAGUGCAGGAGAGGUAAGUGGAAUUCCUAGUGUAGCGGUGAAAUGCGUAGAUAUUAGGAGGAACACCAGUGGCGAAGGCGGCUUACUGGACUGUAACUGACGUUGAGGCUCGAAAGCGUGGGGAGCAAACAGGAUUAGAUACCCGUGUAGUC